ACAGCAGACAGGAUGAGCAGAAGAAGACGACGAAGACCACCUCUCACAUGAUACGAUGGAAAUGUGGCUGACACGGUCGACGCUGGUGGUGUUACUCACAGCAGCAGCAGCAGCAGCAGCAGUCUUGGUGAUAUCAGGUCAAGCUCCUGUGAUUCUGGAUGACAACAUCAGAGAAGAGAAGGUUCCUUCUGGUUCCACUUUGACUUUCCACUGCCGUUUGAGGACAGAGACCCAUUCCAGACUACGAGUGGUCUGGUAUUUCAAACGAUCUUUGGUCAAUGAUUCACACACAGUACUACAUACAGAGAUGGUUAACAAGUCUGCAAGGACCUCCACCGUGGCGUCUAACUUGAAGGAUGAAGGGCGAGACACUGAGGGGACUUUGUCGGUGUACACUUUAUCAAAUGCAACAGAGGAGAACAGUGGAUGGUACUUUUGCAAAGUCAUAAUAGAGAUUCCCUCUUUAACCGAAAAGUGGAGCCAUGGAACAGAAGUAGUUAUUUAGACUGGUAGGUGCCCACAGGAGGAGGAGCGAAGAGCAUCGAACACACAACGUACCUGUCACGACCCAUAGCGACAGCUAAACAAGCUACUGUGUCUCCCACAGACGGCCCCCCCAUCAUCGACCUCUGGAUGUGGAUCAUACUGGGAGUGUCUGCUUUCAUCCUGAUCGUCCUCCUGGUCACAUGUGUCUGUCUGAGAAGAAGACGGCGCAGAAACAGAGGAGAAGAUCCUGUCUAUGCAAACACUCGUCGGCAGCCUUCACCUCGCCCAGGGAUGGACAACCUAAAGACGGUUCCUUCCUCUCAACACCUCAGGAACCCGAGUCCUAGCACGACCUACGAUGACGGCAAGCGAAGAUACAAACAUCGAAAGUGUGAUGGGACCUCAAAAACCUCCAAACCAGCUCAUCAUCAUCAUGUGUAGUCGUGGCCUGUAGCUGUGCUCACUGCAGUGAAACAUGAAUGAUGUCUUUUACAUUAUAGUUUUUCUUUUUUUGUUUGUUUGUUUAGGCUUUUCCUUUAAACUCUAAGUGUGUAACUUAUAGUUUGUGCUUCUUCUCAGGUAUUUCCUGUGAAAAUAUUUUGAGCCACCAGAUGGCAGAAGCUGACAAUGAGUAAAUUCAAAAUUGUUUUUUAUUUUAUUUCUUUUAUUUUAACAUGUUUGCAUAUGUUGCUUUUGUAUAAUAAAUAAGCAAAUAGUGAUGAA